rnacentral:lncRNA from 1 species
UUUUUUGUUUGGUUUGACCACACCAUAGAUGGCUUCCUACGUACUCCUAUUGAUGGGGGGAGAUCAGGUAUUUCAUAGUUCAGGCCUAGUAGUAAAGACUUGAAUUGCUUGGAUCCCGGGUCACCAGAAUGGCGGUUUGUGGGUGAUUUAGACAUAGUACCUUUUCACGGUGUCUAAAUUAAUGAGCUGGGGGAAUUCUUCCCUAUCCAUUUCUUGCAAUCGAAUGGCUCCUCCUGUCAACACUUCCUUGACAAUGAACGGGCCUUUCCAGUUUGGGGAGAAUUUUCCUUUAGCUUCAUCUUGAUUGGAGAGGAUCUUCUUCAGAACUAAGUCAUUUUCUUUGAAUUGCAUAAUCCGUACCUUCUUGUUUUAGGACUUAGUAAUCCUUUGCUGAUAAAACUGACCAUGGAAGAUGGCUGCCGCCCUUUUCUCAUCUAUCAGAGAUAAUUGGUGAUACCACUCUUACAUCCAUUAGUCUUCUUCCAUUUGAGUGUCUAUCAAUACUCUUAAUGAUUCCAUUUCAACUUCUAUAGGGAGUAUUGCUUCCAUGCCAUAGACCAAUGAGUAGGAGGUAGUCUCAGUAGAAGUGCGCAUUGACG